GAUAAAGAAGGUAAGCUUCGUUGCGGCACACCUGAGAUCAAUUACAAGGUUAUGUCGGCGACUGGGUAAAAACGCUCGGGUCCGGCCGUGAUUUAUUCUUUCCGCUUGCCUUCUUUAGCGUACAGAGCUACGGAAGAGUGGCAGGCUUUUAGUUACGCCAAAAUUCGGGUGCAUCCGCUGUUUUUGCGGAUGCGGCAGCACUGUGGGCUAACUGCAUGCCCAGGAGCAGCUACUAAGAGGUUGACAGUGUGCCCGUGGCUAUCCUAUCAUGGUCCUCUUCCAGAUCCUCACAUCAUGGACAGUGGGGAGAAACUGAAAGACACACGUCCACAACCAGGGAUAUGCAAGUCGCUGCAUGGACUUGAAGGGGAUGAGGAGCUUAAUGUUGAAAUGAAAUGGACCUAAAUUGUGAACUGUGAUACCAUCAUUGCUCCAUGUACAGUGUUUAAUAGAAUUAUCAAAUGAAUGUUUUCAAGAAACUGCCACAAAGCUUGUUUUUGUUCCACAAUGGAAGCUUUAAUUUGACCAUUUCUUCUCUUCCACAUGCUCCAUUGAGCCAGAUGUGUAAAAUGUACAAAAAGAUACAAUUUAAAUGUAAAAGAUGUACGUAUGCAUAUCACUCAAGAAACACUAUUUACAAAAGAUUUUACAGAAUUCUUCACAACAUAAAUUCAUUCAUUAACAGCUAUAAAAUUAAAAGCACAGAUUUUAUUUCCAA